GACAUCCCGAUGCUUAUUUCUAGAGAUAGAAAGUUACUUCGGUACAUCGGUGACAGGUGGUGCAUGGUUGUCGUCAGCUCGUGUCGUGAGAUGUUGGGUUAAGUCCCGCAACGAGCGCAACCCCUAUUGUUAGUUGCCAUCAUUCAGUUGGGCACUCUAGCGAGACUGCCGGUAAUAAACCGGAGAAGGUGGGGAUGACGUCAAAUCAUCAUGCCCCCUUAUGACCUGGGCUACACACGUGCUACAAUGGUUGGUACAACGAGUUGCGAGUCGGUGACGGCGAGCUAAUCUCUUAAAGCCAAUCUCAGUUCGGAUUGUAGGCUGCAACUCGCCUACAUGAAGUCGGAAUCGCUAGUAAUCGCGGAUCAGCACGCCGCGGUGAAUACGUUCCCGGGCCUU
rnacentral:rRNA from 1 species